CCUCCAAUUCACAUGAUGAGACCUUUCUUGAACCUUCAAUCAAUUAGGAAGAGCCGGAAAAGGUAUGGCAAAUAAUCCCAACUCAAAAAAGAAGAUUGGGUGCAUUUGUCGUCGGUGCUUAGAAUUGGUUCUGCUGAGGAGGAUUUUUGU
rfam:Talaromyces marneffei PM1 scf041, whole genome shotgun sequence.